rnacentral:rRNA from 1 species
GAUGAACGCUGGCGGCGUGCCUAAUACAUGCAAGUCGAGCGAACAGAUGAGGAGCUUGCUCCUCUGACGUUAGCGGCUGACGGGUGAGUAACACGUGGAUAACCUACCUAUAAGACUGGGAUAACUUCGGGAAACCGGAGCUAAUACCGGAUAAUAUAUUGAACCGCAUGGUUCAAUAGUGAAAGACGGUUUUGCUGUCACUUAUAGAUGGAUCCGCGCCGCAUUAGCUAGUUGGUAAGGUAACGGCUUACCAAGGCAACGAUGCGUAGCCGACCUGAGAGGGUGAUCGGCCACACUGGAACUGAGGCACGGUCCAGACUCCUACGGGAGGCAGCAGUAGGGAAUCUUCCGCAAUGGGCGAAAGCCUGACGGAGCAACGCCGCGUGAGUGAUGAAGGUCUUCGGAUCGUAAAACUCUGUUAUUAGGGAAGAACAAAUGUGUAAGUAACUAUGCACGUCUUGACGGUACCUAAUCAGAAAGCCACGGCUAACUACGUG